GAAUUACUGGGCGUAAAGCGUGCGUAGGCGGURAUUUAAGUCYGAUGUGAAAUCCCCGGGCUCAACCUGGGAAYGGCAUUGGAGACUGGAUCGCUAGAGUGUGGCAGAGGAGGGUGGAAUUCCCGGUGUAGCGGUGAAAUGCGUAGAGAUCUGGAGGAACACCAGUGGCGAAGGCGGCCCUCUGGAHCAAUACUGACGCUGAUGCACGAAAGCGUGGGGAGCAAACAGGAUUAGAUACCCUGGUAGUCCACGCCCUAAACGAUGCSAACUGGAUGUUGG
rnacentral:rRNA from 1 species